rnacentral:rRNA from 1 species
UGAUGAAGGUCUUCGGAUUGUAAAAUUCUGUGGUAAGAGAAGAAAGAUAUAAAGAGGAAAUGCUUUGUAUUUGACGGUAUCUUGCUAGAAAGCCACGGCUAACUACGUGCCAGCAGCCGCGGUAAUACGUAGGUGGCAAGCGUUAUCCGGAAUUACUGGGCGUAAAGAGUGAGCAGGCGGUUAGAUAAGUCUAUGGUUAAAUGCAACAGCUCAACUGUUGUUCGCUAUAGAAACUAUUUAACUAGAGUGCGGGAGAGGUAAGUGGAACUCCAUAUGUAGCGGUGGAAUGCUUAGAUAUAUGGAAGAACACCAGAGGCGAAGGCGGCUUACCAGUCCGUAACUGACGCUCAGUCACGAAAGCGUGGGGAGCAAAUAGGAUUAGAUAUCCUAGUAGUCCACGCCGUAAACGAUGAGAACCUGAUGCAGGAGAUAUUCUGUGUCGAAGCUAACGCGUUAAGUUCUCCGCCUGGGUACUACGUUCGCAAGAAUAAAACUUAAAGGAAUUGACGGGCGCCCGCACAAGCAGUGGAGCAUGGGGUUUAAUUCGUCGAUACACGAAAAACCUUACCAGGGCUUGACAUCCCGCUAAAAGCCUUAGAAAUAAGGAAAUAGUUAUAGCGGUGACAGGUGGUGCAUGGUUGUCGUCAGCUCGUGCCGUGAGGUGUUAGGUUAAGUCCUCAAACGAGCGCAACCCUUGUCUUUAGUUGCCAUUAUUAAUUUAGGAACUCUAGAGAGACUGCCGGCGCAAGCCGGAGGAAGGCGGGGAUGACGUCAAAUCAUCAUGCCCUUUAUGCCCUGGGCCACACCCGUGCUACAAUGGUCGGUACAAAGAGAAGCAACACUGUGAGGUGAAGCAAAUCCCAUAAAGCCGAUCUCAAUUCGGAUUGAAGUCUGCAACUCGACUUCAUGAAGCUGGAAUUGCUAGUAAUCGCAGAUCAGCAACGCUGCGGUGAAUACGUUCUCGGGCGUUGUACACACUGCCCGUCACACCAUGAGAGCCGGUAAUACUCGAAGUCGUUAGCCUAACCGUAAGGAGGGCGGCGCCUAAGGUAGGACUGGUGAUUGGGGUUAAGUCGUAACAAGGUAUCCCUACGAGAACGUGGGGAUG